GAUGAACGCUGGCGGCGUGCCUAAUACAUGCAAGUCGAGCGAACGGACGAGAAGCUUGCUUCUCUGAUGUUAGCGGCGGACGGGUGAGUAACACGUGGAUAACCUAUCUAUAAGACUGGGAUAACUUCGGGAAACCGGAGCUAAUACCGGAUAAUAUUUUGAACCGCAUGGUUCAAAAGUAAAAGACGGUCUUGCUGUCACUUAUAGAUGGAUCCGCGCUGCAUUAGCUAGUUGGUAAGGUAACGGCUUACCAAGGCAACGAUGCAUAGCCGACCUGAGAGGGUGAUCGGCCACACUGGAACUGAGACACGGUCCAGACUCCUACGGGAGGCAGCAGUAGGGAAUCUUCCGCAAUGGGCGAAAGCCUGACGGAGCAACGCCGCGUGAGUGAUGAAGGUCUUCGGAUCGUAAAACUCUGUUAUUAGGGAAGAACAUAUGUGUAAGUAACUGUGCACAUCUUGACGGUACCUAAUCAGAAAGCCACGGCUAACUACGUG
rnacentral:rRNA from 1 species